GAUGAACGCUGGCGGCGUGCCUAAUACAUGCAAGUCGAGCGAACGGACGAGAAGCUUGCUUCUCUGAUGUUAGCGGCGGACGGGUGAGUAACACGUGGAUAACCUACCUAUAAGACUGGGGUAACUUCGGGAAACCGGAGCUAAUACCGGAUAAUAUUUUGAACCGCAUGGUUCAAAAGUGAAAGACGGUCUUGCUGUCACUUAUAGAUGGAUCCGCGCUGCAUUAGCUAGUUGGGAAGGUAACGGCUUACCAAGGCAACGAUGCAUAGCCGACCUGAGAGGGUGAUCGGCCACACUGGAACUGAGACACGGUCCAGACUCCUACGGGAGGCAGCAGUAGGGAAUCGUCCGCAAUGGGCGAAAGCCUGACGGAGCAACGCCGCGUGAGUGAUGAAGGUCUUCGGAUCGUAAAACUCUGUUAUUAGGGAAGAACAUAUGUGUAAGUAACUGUGCACAUCUUGACGGUACCUAAUCAGAAAGCCACGGCUAACUACGUG
rnacentral:rRNA from 1 species